GUCCUUCUAUAGUUCAUGAGCAUGAGGAUUGGGUGCUCACGGGCACGUGUGAAAUGUGCCACCCUCUGAACCUUGUUACAACAUCGGCACAUUACCCAUCUGACC
rnacentral:snoRNA from 1 species